AUGUUCUUCUUGGGGAGACCUUGGCAAUUUGAUGUGGAUACUACACUCAAGGACAAGGAAAAUUCUUAUUCUUUCAUUUGGAACAAGAGAAAGAUCAUUAUCUUACCAAACCAAACCGAAGGUAAUACCUCUAAGGAGGAGGGGAAAACUAUGUUAACUAUCUCCCAUACCUCUCAUGAGUUUAUGGAAGACUUGAAGGAGGCAGAUUUGUGUGCUGCACUUGUUGGAAAAGGAGAAGAGCACCUGACUAUUGAAAUUCCAGUAAAGGUACAUGGUUUAUUGGCAGAAUUUCAUAACAUACUUGGAGAGCCACAAGGCUUGCCACAUAUGAGAGGAAUUCAACAUAGAAUUGAGUUAAUUCCGGGAGUAAGUCUUCCUAAUCUUCCAUACUAUCGAAUGAGCCCAAAGGAGCACGAUAUAUUGAAGGAGAAAGUAGAGGAAUUGUUGCAAAAGGGGCACAUUCGAGAAAGUAUUAGCCCAUGUGAUGUACCAUCCUUACUUGCGCCAAAGAAAGAUGGAUCUUGGCGCAUGUGUACAGACAGUACAGCCAUUAACAUGAUCACCGUAAGGUAUAGAUUC
rnacentral:rRNA from 1 species